rnacentral:rRNA from 1 species
UACGAAGGGGGCUAGCGUUGCUCGGAAUCACUGGGCGUAAAGGGUGCGUAGGCGGGUCUUUAAGUCAGGGGUGAAAUCCUGGAGCUCAACUCCAGAACUGCCUUUGAUACUGAGGAUCUUGAGUUCGGGAGAGGUGAGUGGAACUGCGAGUGUAGAGGUGAAAUUCGUAGAUAUUCGCAAGAACACCAGGGGCGAAGGCGGCUCACUGGCCCGAUACUGACGCUGAGGCACGAAAGCGGGGGGAGCAAACAGG